rnacentral:lncRNA from 1 species
GACGGCGCAGUGGCUGCUGGUUGGGCAUCUGCGGCUUCAACCCGAAACGAUUCCCCCCGGUGGAAGGAGUCCAGGCGUGUUGGCCGAGAUUGGGCUCACGAGUUUUUGAGAAAGCUACAUGGCUGGACUUCCCCCUCCAUUUGCCAGUAGUUGCUCUGGACACUUCUAAGGUUCCUUCAGGAGCAGAGAACAUUCUGCUAGAACCAGGUGCUAAGGAAUCAGUGAACCCACAGAACACUGGGCUCCAUCCUGCCACUGGAAGCUGUGUGGAGUUCAACAGUAGCUGGACCCGAAAGCCCCCUUGAGGCUGGAGAUUCCCU